rnacentral:rRNA from 1 species
GACGAACGCUGGCGGCGUGCUUAACACAUGCAAGUCGAACGGAAAGGCCCUGCUUUUGUGGGGUGCUCGAGUGGCGAACGGGUGAGUAACACGUGAGUAACCUGCCCUUGACUUUGGGAUAACUUCAGGAAACUGGGGCUAAUACCGGAUAGGAGCUCCUGCUGCAAGGUGGGGGUUGGAAAGUUUCGGCGGCUGGGGAUGGACUCGCGGCUUAUCAGCUUGUUGGUGGGGUAGUGGCUUACCAAGGCUUUGACGGGUAGCCGGCCUGAGAGGGUGACCGGCCACAUUGGGACUGGGAUACGGCCCAGACUCCUACGGGAGGCAGCAGUGGGGAAUAUUGCACAAUGGGCGGAAGCCUGAUGCAGCAACGCCGCGUGCGGGAUGACGGCCUUCGGGUUGUAAACCGCUUUCGCCUGUGACGAAGCGUGAGUGACGGUAAUGGGUAAAGAAGCACCGGCUAACUACGUG